rnacentral:lncRNA from 1 species
UCCAGAUCUGAGCCGAUAAAUACCAGACUAAAAUUUUUCAUCUAGGAAAAAAUUUAAGUAUGAAGACGUAUUUUAAUCAGAUUAUGUUUGUUUUCAAUUUCGGUGAGUAUAUUGAUUACAUGACUGUUCUUUUGAAAUCAAUUACAAAAAGUGAGUACGGUCUACUUUAUAUGUGUGCCGUUUGCUUUGAAAAUGGACCUUUAAACAAUUAAAAGAAAUAUUAUUUGCUACUAAGUAAAAUUAAUAUUAUAUUAAAAGAACCGUUUUAUCUCUUCCCAUUUCACCUUUUCGAGAAUUGAUAUCCAUAUACGAUGAUGCUUUAUAUCAUUGUGAGAGAGAGAGACAAAGUUGACAAAUAGAAUAUAAAGUGUUUCGAAAGUAAAUGUUGAAAUGUGUUGUAAGUGUAUAUUCAAAGCUUUUACAUUAUAAGAAGAAUAUGCACGUUUUGAUGUUUUAUAUGUAUCAUUAUUGUUUGUAUAUUUUCCGUAAAAUACAUUUUUCAUCGUCAUCUGUAUUUUUUAGUUCAACUGUUAGCGUUUGUAUGCACCUAGUUUGAUGAAAAUGUCUAGCACAACUAAAUCAAGUUUUUGUAAAUCUUUUUUAUUAUUUUUUUUAUUUAACAGUUUGCUUCACGACAUUGUCUGCCAACAACAUCAAUACACCAUCCAAUGGUUAUGUGGCGACCACUAUUCAGCCAAUAGGUAAUGCACGUAUAGUUAUUUUUUAGGGGAGGGAGGAUUGACGAAAGGAAAUUGUAGGAACAUAACAGUAGUAACAUAUAUCCAUUAGUUUGAAUCAGAUGUGUUUGAGCUUUUGAUGUUGUCAUUGGAUUAGAGACUUUCUUUUUAAAUUUUCAUCGGAUUUCAGUAUUUUUAUGAUUUUACUUUUUAUAUAGAUAUCAACGAAGCUAUGUAAUUAUAUCCACUUCUACAACAAAAAGCCAAUAGAACAACUAUCAAUCAAGUUCUAAUGAAGUGGACGUAUGCAAUUAUGGGCCCUUCAUUGAUGACUGUUUGGUGUGAGCCAAAGCUCCGCGUUGAAGAACAACUUCUUAUAUCUAUAGAUAUAGAUCAACAAUGAGUAAAACCCAUGGAUACCAUAUUAUCAGAUUAUUACAUGGCAUUUUUCAUAUCGCAUGUAUUAUCAACCCUAGGUUCAAUAUCAGCCCAAGAGCCGAAUGGCUCGAGAGCGGAUAUUUAACGAGAGCUGAUAAUACAUGAGAUAUGAAAAAUGACAUGUUAUGAUCUUUUUAUCAUAUGCUUCAACAAUGGAGAAAAAUAACAAAUUAAUAUAUUGAUCCUUUUACGUGGUUCCAAAAAAAAAAGUUUAAAAGAUUAAAAAGUUCACGGACGCGGAGAUCCCAGAUUUAGUGCAUUCGAUAUAAAAUCUUUCUAUCAUAUCAACAGAGAAAAAAGUAUUUUGAUAUGGACGAAUCGACAAAAAAAAUUAUUCAACAAUAUACAUAAUGAAAACUGUUUCGAAAAGUUAACUUAUUUAAAGCGUAACUUUCUAAAUUAUGUUUGAAACUUUUAAAAAAUGCAAUUAUUUAAUAUUUUUCUUAUUUCUUUUUGUUAAUUUACACAAUAUACUUUCCAGUAUCUAAAUAAUUGUUUUGUACACUACUUUGAAAUGUUUUUCAUUGGAAACGUAGCAUUGAGUUGUAUUUUCCGGAAUUUGCCGAGUAUCACCGGAAUGCCAUGCGAUAACGUUACGGAAAGGCAUGUGAUAAAAAUCGAAGCAUGUGAUAAACAUUUCAUAUCAGCCCGCUAAUCACCAAUUCGAAAAAUAUUUAGUUAACGUUAAUUUGAUGUUAUUAUCAUACAGUUAAAAUCGUAUGUUAUUUAGUCUAACAUGUCUAAGUAUAUGAUAAAGUAGGAUAUAAAAGGCAACGUUAUAUUCUCAUUUCAGGUAGUAGAAAAUGUUUCAAAUGUACCAGUUGGACAACAACUUAUUGUACGCAGAGAACUAGUUUAUCUGUUGCGAUGCAGUAUUUUCCGCUUGUUUGGUGUCCUGGUUCUUGUAUCACGAGGGCCAUUGAGCACGACGGUGUUACAGGUACAUAAUGAAAAUGAUGUACCGAAUACAAAAAAAGUGUUAAUGAUAUAGUGUUAUUAUGUGGCUGUUUCUGUAUUGGCCUUGUUAUAGAUUCGAGGUUAGCUGUAUUGGACCCGAGACUCAGUAUAGCUGAUCGAAAAUCUAUAACAGGACCACUAGCAAGACGAUAUUUCGUUGUCCUUAUAAAGAUAUUUUGAUAAGAAAUUAAUUCAAGAAUAGAUACGACAAAAGUUCUAUCUGGACAAGUUAUAUUCUGAGAUUUAAAUGCAAAUAAAUCUUAUUUAUGUAAAAUCAAUGAGAAUCGUGACGUUAUAGUCAUAAGGUAAGUCCUAAUAUAUAUUAUCUAAGGUCACGAGCUAAUGGUCUACUUAAAAAAAGUAUGUCAUGUAUGUAUGAAAUGUUUUUUUCAUAAGGCCAGGUUUAAUCCACCAUUUUUUAAAUGUUUGUGCCAAGUGAGGAAUAUGACAGUUUUUGUCCAUUCGUUUGGUGUGUUGGAGCUUUUGGUUUUGCUAUAAAAUUGGGGACUUUCCUUUUUGAAUUUUCCUCGGAGUGUUUUUUUGUGAUUUUGCAUUUUAUAUACCCGAGACACUUAUCGAAUCCCAGAAGCUUAAUAUUGUAAAUUAAGCGUUGGUGAUUGAAUACUGUUUGUAUUCUACAAUUAUCUUUUGAACUUCUGCUUUAAUUAAACGUUACAACUGACACAAAGUUUUGAUAAAAUGUAACACCUUUUUAUUGCAAGCCGUUUUAUUCGAACUUAUAUUGAUUGAUUGUUUGUUGCUUAACGUCCAGUGGCAAAUGUUCGAACUUAAAGAUAUAUCAUGUAAUAUAUAAGAUAUCUUAUUUAAUCUAGCUUUCAUAAGAUAAACCAUAUACGUGUGUACUUUAUAAGAUAUCUUCAAUUCAUUUUUGUUAAUUCAUAUACGCUUUGUCAUUUUUCAGACGUCAUUAGAGGUUGCUCAACAGGAGGAUCUGAUGUAAAGCAGACGACAUGCGAUGAUGACUAUUGUAAUCUAAAUCAUGGAAAUAUCGUUAGGUCUAGUACUGUAUAUACUACCCUCAUAAUGGCAAUUUUGUGUAGCCUUUCGUGUAUUGAUUAGAAGCUAACCAGAUAGCUCGACUUUCAUUUUUAAUUUCUAGUCUGGUGAAUAUAAUCAUCAUUUUCAUGAACUUUUCAAAAAGCAUAUCAGGUCUUUGUACCACGUCAUAAAAUCAUUUGAAUAACGGCGUUUCUAUUUUUUUUAAUGAAAUAAAGAAAAACAAAGUGCAUUCAUUGAUCCUUUCUCAUUUUGACUGAGUUUAAAUAUCUCUGAUAUAACUUCAACUGUAGGAAACAUAAUAAAUGUAAAUGGUGUAAAUGUAAAUAUAAAUUCUGCAUCCUCCUAUAUAAUCCCUGUACCAUGUAAGGAUGUCUGCAUCAAGUCUUCUUUAAUUUCGCAUUUCCUUUUUGUAUCUCUAGAAGUUUGUUGGUGUUGUUUUUUUAUACAACAUUUUAGUAGUUCGUAUUUUCUUUAUAA